ACCGGACUCGCGAAUGCUCUAGAUUNAAGUUUGAUCAUGGCUCAGAUUGAACGCUGGCGGCAGGCUUAACACAUGCAAGUCGAGCGGGGAAGGUUGCUUCGGUAACUGACCUAGCGGCGGACGGGUGAGUAAUGCUUAGGAAUCUGCCAUUUAGUGGGGGACAACAUUCCGAAAGGAAUGCUAAUACCGCAUACGUCCUACGGGAGAAAGCAGGGGAUCUUCGGACCUUGCGCUAAAUGAUGAGCCUAAGUCGGAUUAGCUAGUUGGUGGGGUAAAGGCCUACCAAGGCGACGAUCUGUAGCGGGUCUGAGAGGAUGAUCCGCCACACUGGGACUGAGACACGGCCCAGACUCCUACGGGAGGCAGCAGUGGGGAAUAUUGGACAAUGGGCGGAAGCCUGAUCCAGCCAUGCCGCGUGUGUGAAGAAGGCCUUAUGGUUGUAAAGCACUUUAAGCGAGGAGGAGGCUACCAGUAUUAAUACUACUGGAUAGUGGACGUUACUCGCAGAAUAAGCACCGGCUAACUCUGUGCCAGCAGCCGCGGUAAUACAGAGGGUGCGANCGUUAAUCGGAUUUACUGGGCGUNAAAGCGU
rnacentral:rRNA from 1 species